rnacentral:rRNA from 1 species
CACGGGUGCGUAACACGUGGGCAAUCUGCCCUCCGAUGGGGAAUAACUCGCCGAAAGGCGAGCUAAUUCCGCAUAACAUUCCUUGGACUUCGGUUUGAGGACUCAAAGCCGUCAAGGCGUCGGAUGGAGGAGCCCGUCUGCCCGAUUAGCUAGCUUGGUGGGGUAACGGUCCACCAAGGCAAUGCAUCGGUAGCUGGUCUGAGAGGAUGGCCAGCCACACUGGAACUGAGACACGGUCAAAGAUCCUAUACGGGAGGCAAGUGGGGAAUCUUGCACAGUGGGCGAAAGCCUGAUGCAGCGACGCCGCGUGGGGGAUGAAGCAUCUCGGUGUGUAAACCCCUUUCGACCCGGAAGAAUGCCUCGCAAGAGGACUGACGGUACGGGGUAUUAAGAAGCCCCGGCUAA